UUUGCUUUGAUUCCAUGUAGUAGCCUAUUUGAUAAAAUGAUGUAUCUAAUUGAAUACCGGUCAGUUAGAUGGCACUAAAAACUUAGAAACGAACUCCAGUCAGACAGAACAGCAAUCGAACCCACAGCGCCGCCACCCGGUAUCAAUGCAGCCCUUAAACUCUUCAGUGCGGUCGAUUUGAGACACCGCGCAUGACCAGGCAGGCUUUUAAAAAGAACGAUUUUGGGUGUCGUGCUCGGACGGACAGACAAAACGCACCGGCAGCAUCAGGCCUGGGUGAUUGUCCGGAAAGGUAAGGGGCUCCGAGAGUGAGGGAGACUUUCCCGAAGCCAUUACCUCAGUGCUGCCGGAUGGAGAUGCUGCAGCGCUGCGGUAUCAUCGCACCCCACCCUCGCACUGCGCCACUCACAGACUGCCCAUUUAUAUAUUUAUUAAAACCUGCAGCGACGUUACGGUGCGCUUAGCGGACUGGCCUUAUCUCCGUCCCCCGUUUUAAACGAGAAUAGCACCUGAUUCCCUAUAUAGUGCAAUCGGAGAAAGGUAAGAGAAAAAUGUAUUGCAAUAGCCUUUCUAUUUUGUGACGUACAUUGCAUGUUAAAGCUUCACGUCUUUACCGUGGUGCCAAUGCUUCACUUGCGCAUGAAGUUUUGCACCGUACUGCGGCGUUAUACCGGCAAAGUCCGGCCGAUGCACAUCUGCUUUCAUAUAGCCUAUUAUCCAUGUGUCCAGCAUUUCCUAUCUGCAGCAUUUUCGGUGGGACCCAUACGAGGUGGUGCCUGGUGCCGCAGAAAGCGGCUUCGGAAACGUGCCGAGAUGCAGACGCCAUACAGCGGUUUUUUUUGGGGGGGUGGAAUUUGAGCUUUUUGGGACAUUGUUAGUUAGGCUGAAUUAAACACCGUUUCGCUUAGCAGGCACGUGCAUGAACGUACGCCUUUCAGAUGCCUUGUAUGUCUGAUUGUGGUUUCAAAAAGAGUUUCUUUAAUAUUUCUGUCAUAAGUCAAGGGACAAUUAAAGGAAGUCGUGUAAUCAUUGCUUAUUGCUUUUUCAAGUCUUCUCAACAGCGAAUGUAUUACGUCGGUCUUUGUAAGAUCUCUUUUGUCUUUUUCGCAUUUUAUUUAUUUAAUUUGAUUCUGUCACUGUCAAUCCCUCAUUGAUUUUGAUUUCAGUACUUUGUGUCUUAGCAACAAACCUUUCUACCUCUACGCUUUUGUUUCUCUUAUUGCCAUUCGCCUCAUCGCAUACACUGCUUUUAUCUAUUAGUUAUUUAUAAAUACAGUUGCGACACCCUCAACAAAAACAUGGGCAUCGACUCCGAGGAACCGACACCUCUGGGCCCGUCCCUCAGCAAGGGGCAGGUGGAAGCUUUCCAGAGGGCGGAACCCAAAACUCUUGGGGCCAUCCAGAUCAUCAUUGCAGUGCUGACCCUCUGCCUGAGUGUAACGCUGCUUCAUCAGGAGAUACACUUCUCGGGGGAUGUGAAAGUUCUGUGUGUUGUUGUUGGACAGCUCAUCCUGUCAGGAUCAGUGCUGGUUCAUGCUGGGAGGAAGCCGUCCGUGUUCUGGGUGAGUCGCUCAUGUGGGGUAACAGUGCUGGUGCAUGCUGGGAGGAAGCCGUCUGUGUUCUGGUUGAAAUCCAUCCUGGUGCUGCACCUAGUAAGUGCCGCCUUCGCCACGGCAGCCCUGGGGCUCCUGUCCAAGCACCUGCCCUACCAACAGGACGCCUACCACUGUGAGCACUGCUACCGGCUGCAGAACGCUGCUGUGAAACUGAUCGACGGGAUCACAGGCACGUUGGUCCUCUUCCUGGUGCUGGAGCUGGUGAUCUGCAUUGUAGCCAUGCUGUUUGGGCUCAAUGCCCUGGCUAACGGCAGUUUCCAGCUGGCUGUUAGUAGCCUGACAGUACCUACACAUCAGAGUCAUGCUGUCGCUGCCUCCGCCGCUGCCUCUGCUGCCGCCGCUGCCACCGCAGCCUCCGCUGCCUCGGCCGCCUCGGCCGCCUCAGCCGCUAUCCCCAUCCCGGAUCCCACGGAGGCCGUCGUGGAAGAAGCCGCAGUCCCUGACGAGCCCCAGGUGAUUGUCUCCAGCCCAAGAACGCAAACGCCGGAAACUCCCUCUAUAACGAUCGACGAGCCCCAGGUGGCGCCAGCUGAAAUGGACAGUGAAACUGAGUCCUAGGAGAGUCCAGUCCAGCCUGCCUUCCUUCCUGCCGACGUAGUCUGAAGGGACGGGGGCCAGGGGGCGGGGCAACUGGUGCCAAAAUGUGCACGGGAUUUGCUGAUAUCUCCGAAAUCCAAAAGGGAGGUAGUGUUGAUUUGACAAAAUUGAAAAAGCUGCUAUCAAUUUAGUUUGAGGGAUUUCAAUAAGAAUUGGGUGUGACCAUAUUCGCAUCCAAAAAUGGCAAUAGAUUUGAAUAUAAACAGGAUUGGUUAGCUCAGGCUGUCACCCACACUAUAUGAUACGUGUUUUUGCUGAAAGUUUCCCUUUUAAAUCGGUUGCUUUACUACCAAAGGGCAGCAGUUCGUACAAGCAGAUCAUUGUGCUUUGGAUCCAGCCAUUGUUACACCCAUCCAUACAUACAUCCAUCCAUUUUCCAUACACUUGUAAUACUGGCGUGUGGAAGAAAAAUACACAAAUUAUUUUGCCAAUUCACUACACCAGAGUCCACAAGUGAUUUCACCUCAUCAAAGAAAGAAGGAAAUUUAUUUCUGUUGUCAUUCUGAUUUUGUUGUCAUAUUCCUUGUCAUUCUGAUCUAUAGUACCAGACAAAAGUUUGAGUACACUUGCCUGAAACUAGGGUUUUUUCAUAAUGGACAAUGUUUUACAACAUAUAUUUUUGUAAUUUCAUGAAAAUGCGUUAUUAUAUAUAUAUAUAUAAACAUGAGUAACAAAGCAGUAUUCAAUAAAACUGAAAAUUCCCACUAAAUCUUGGAUUCUGCAAAAAGCCUUUUUGCCUCGAUAAGAUAAGAUAAGAUAAGAUAAAAGUGUUCAGGUCUUCCCAGUAUAUCUGCAGCAGUUCCCUGGGGGGGAGGCUGGUUCACCUUGACUCUUGUGUCCAGUUCUUCCCACACAAGUUCUGGCUGGGCUGGUCAGGUCAUUCGUUUGAGGUGUCCUUCACUUUCCUUCAUCACCAGAUAGUUUCUGCACAAUUAUAAGCUGUGUUCUGGUUCGGUAUCUUGCUGCAGAUUGACGGACUGCCCACUAAGCCUGACGGCAUGAUGUUCCUGUCAGGCUUGCUAUGAUAACUGUACUACUUACCAUUCUUAUAGAUUUAACGAAGACAACCAACCCAGUCAGUAAAAUAACCCCAAACAGUGACACUGCCUCCUCCAUGCCUUGCAGUGGGAAUCACACACGCUGAGAUUAUCCUCUCACUCUCUCUGUGUCAGACAAACACACUGCAGUUGGACCUGGAUCUUUCCAUCGUUGGCUCAUCAGUCCAUAUGGCCAAUUUCAUUCCUCUGACAUUCACUGUCUGGAUAAUUAUGUAAAAUACAAGCAUAUGUACUCAAGGUUUUGACCGGUAUCAUAUCUCCAAACGUAACUGCACAAUACGCCAAUUUAUGUUUCACAUUCAUUAUAAAUCGAGGACUCUGUACCUUUAACGAGUUCAUGUAUGUAGACACAGAGUGUGUCAUUUAUAUAUGUGGUUUCUAUCACUCAACAGUAUUUCCACUGCAAAGUUAACUCUGUUUGUACUGAACCCAGUGUCCUUCCUUAUUUAAUUUGUUGCAUUCACAGAAGCUGAAACUAGCUUGAUUGCACCAUACAGUACUUUAAAAUCAGCAUAACAGGCUUAUGGAAAAAUGUCUUUGCAUUUCUGAAACUUACUUUUUGAUUAAAUUUUAUAAUAUUACUUUCAAUCAUUAUUAUUUUUGUGUCACUUGACUUCUGCAUCCACCUGGUGUAUUUCUGCUCUGCUUUAGGUUCCUGUGUUUGGAUUAACUUGAAUUGUGACGUGAUAUAGCACUAUAGAGAAAAGAAAAACUAAACUGUUUUAAAAGUUAACUGAUGCAGUGUUUGGGCAAAGUGUUAGUGUGAUUGUCUUAUUUACACAUGUAACUUGCACAUUCCAAUAAAUUGGUUACUGAAAGGACAGAAAACAGGAGCAGUAUGUUUUGCAGUAUUUUGCAAGAUACUCUUUCACAUUUUUCCUAGCCACGAAAUUCUUAUUGACUUAAGCGUCUGAGAUGUGGAUAGCACCGAGUUUUACAGCUUUUAUCAAACCUGGCAUCACUAAAUGAAAACAAAGCAGAGUCAGGGGCCUCCCUACCACUAGGGGUGCUGUUAGAGAUUAUAUACCUCUUGAAUGGAGGGCUGGUCAGCACCAGUGAGUUUUUUUCGGCAGUCCUGACUCCGUUGUAGUUUGUUCCUGUCCUGUUUGGUGGCCAGAGAUGUGCAGAAAACAGACCACAGAUAGUCCUGCACUGAAUCGCCAGCAACAUUCACCGCUUGAAUACUAAUUAUUAAAAUAUUACUUAAAUCUUGCAGAAAAACACUUUGAUUCCGAAACUCAUCUCUCAUUUUUGAAUGGUUUUGGUGGUUUUGGUUAUGAAACCAAAUCGUAUUAAAGAGAUAGUUUGUGUGAUACAAGAGUAAAGUAAAAUAGAUAGUUUAAUGAUUUUGUAACCUGCGACAUGCAGGCUGUCGUCCCAAAUCCUGAGAGACACUUGCGGACAUUGAAUCGGAAAGGAGGGGAACCAUUACGCCUUUUGCCAGGAUUUGGCUGGAAACUGAACGUGCAUCGCUGGAUUUCAGAUAAACUUAAGAAAAUAAUGACACGAAACAGAUGAAACCAAGACAAUAUCGACUGACUGGACUAAACUGACACGAAAGCAUUGCGAUGCACUGGUGCAGUAAGUUCAUGUAAAUUAAUGCGAGGUUUUUUUUUUUGAAAGGUGCUAAAUUGUUUUUUUUUUUAUCCUGGUCAUGUUGGUUAUAACAAUUAUUCAUUUUGUCCUGGUUCAGAUUUAUUUGUAAGGUCUUUAAUAAUAAGUGUAUUUUUUUCUUCUUGAAAUCCAAACUGUGAAACCAAAUGAUUGUAAAUAAUAUAUGGGAAUCGAAACUUU